rnacentral:rRNA from 1 species
AUGGACACGUCGGCGCCGGCGGCGAGGGCCUCCAUGAACUCCUUGGUCCCCGACCUGGCGAUGGUCCCGAGGUUGUUGACGAGGUCGGACUUGGUCAUCCCAAUGCCGCUGUCAACGAUCGUGAGCGUGUUGGUCGCCUUGUCGGGGAUGAUGUGGAUGAAGAGCUCGGGCUGCGCGUCUAGCUUGCUCUUGUCCGUGAGGCUCUCGAACCUGAUCUUGUCCAAGGCCUGCCAAAAUCACACCAGUAAACACACCACGUCAGCCCAGGGACACAGAUCUGAAACGCAUCUCGCACGCCACGAAUCAGACCGCGGGUCAACGGAUCUGGCUCGACGGAAUCUAAACCCUAGCGUAGGCCGCAAAUCGACCAUGCGCUCGGACGGAUUCGUACUCGCGGAUCACGGGGUAAAAAUAGAGGGAUGA